UACGUAGGGCGCAAGCGUUGUCCGGAAUUAUUGGGCGUAAAGAGCUCGUAGGCGGUCUGUCGCGUCGGAUGUGAAAGCCCGGGGCUUAACCCCGGGUCUGCAUUCGAUACGGGCAGACUAGAGUGUGGUAGGGGAGAUCGGAAUUCCUGGUGUAGCGGUGAAAUGCGCAGAUAUCAGGAGGAACACCGGUGGCGAAGGCGGCUCUCUGGUACGUGACUGACGCUGAGACGCGAAAGCGUGGGGAGCAAACAGG
rnacentral:rRNA from 1 species